rnacentral:rRNA from 1 species
GGCGUGCCUAACACAUGCAAGUCGAACGAGAAAAUGUCCUUCGGGAUAUGAGUACAGUGGCGAACGGGUGAGUAACGCGUGGGUAACCUGCCCUUGGAAGGGGGAUAACACGAGGAAACUGGUGCUAAUACCGCAUAAGCCUGGGAGGAGAGAUUCUUUCAGGGAAAGUCCUUCGGGACGACCGAGGAGGGGCCCGCGUCCGAUUAGCUAGUUGGUGGAGUAAAGGUUCACCAAGGCGACAAUCGGUAGCCGGUCUGAGAGGACGGACGGUCACACUGGGACUGAGACACGGCCCAGACUCCUACGGGAGGCAGCAGUGGGGAAUUUUGCGCAAUGGGGGAAACCCUGACGCAGCAACGCCGCGUGAAGGAAGAAGGCUUUCGAGUUGUAAACUUCUGUUUCGGGGGACGAAGAAGUGACGGUACCCCGGCAGCAAGCCCCGGCUAACUCCGUGCCAGCAGCCGCGGUAAUACGGGGGGGGCAAGCGUUGUUCGGAAUUACUGGGCGUAAAGGGCGCGUAGGCGGUACGAGAAGUUUUGGGUGAAAGCCCCGGGCUCAACCCGGGAAGGUCCUGGAAAACCAUCGUACUGGAGUGCUGG